rnacentral:lncRNA from 1 species
UUUAGACAUAAUUUUCAUCAGAGCUAUUUAAUAAUUUCUCCCCCUUUUUGGCAUAAUCAAAAAGGCAUAAAAAAUGAAAAGAAUAAUAAAGAGAAAAACACUUCAUUGAAAAGCACAAAGGCAAACAACAGUCAAAACAUUAGAUUCAACAGAAUAUCAGAGCUAAAAAGAAAGACAGAAGCAAAAACACUUAGGCAAACAAACAAAAAUAAAACC